rnacentral:rRNA from 1 species
GACGAACGCUGGCGGCGUGCUUAACACAUGCAAGUCGAACGGAAAGGCCCUGCUUGCAGGGUACUCGAGUGGCGAACGUGUGAGUAACACGUGGGUGAUCUGCCCUGCACUUCGGGAUAAGCCUGGGAAACUGGGUCUAAUACCGGAUAUGACCUUCCAUGUAGUGUGGGGGGUGGAAAGAUUUAUCGGUGUGGGAUGAGCCCGCGGCCUAUCAGCUUGUUGGUGGGGUAAUGGCCUACCAAGGCGUCGACGGGUAGCCGGCCUGAGAGGGUGGACGGCCACAUUGGGACUGAGAUACGGCCCAGACUCCUACGGGAGGCAGCAGUGGGGAAUAUUGCACAAUGGGCGGAAGCCUUAUGCAGCGACGCCGCGUGGGGGAUGACGGCCUUCGGGUUGUAAACCUCUUUCGACAGGGACGAAGCUUCGGUGACGGUACCUGUAUAAGAAGCACCGGCUAACUACGUG